rnacentral:rRNA from 1 species
GAUGAACGCUGGCGGCGUGCCUAAUACAUGCAAGUCGAGCGAACUGAUUAGAAGCUUGCUUCUAUGACGUUAGCGGCGGACGGGUGAGUAACACGUGGGCAACCUGCCUGUAAGACUGGGAUAACUUCGGGAAACCGAAGCUAAUACCGGAUAGGAUCUUCUCCUUCAUGGGAGAUGAUUGAAAGAUGGUUUCGGCUAUCCAUUACAGAUGGGCCCGGGGUGCAUUAGCUAGUUGGUGAGGUAACGGCUCACCAAGGCAACGAAGCAUAGCCGACCUGAGAGGGUGAUCGGCCACACUGGGACUGAGACACGGCCCAGACUCCUACGGGAGGCAGCAGUAGGGAAUCUUCCGCAAUGGACGAAAGUCUGACGGAGCAACGCCGCGUGAGUGAUGAAGGCUUUCGGGUCGUAAAACUCUGUUGUUAGGGAAGAACAAGUACAAGAGUAACUGCUUGUACCUUGACGGUACCUAACCAGAAAGCCACGGCUAACUACGUGCCAGCCGCCGCGGUAA